UACGUAGGGUGCAAGCGUUGUCCGGAAUUAUUGGGCGUAAAGAGCUCGUAGGCGGUUUGUUGCGUCGGCUGUGAAAACCUGAGGCUCAACCUCAGGCCUGCAGUCGAUACGAGCAGACUAGAGUGUUGCAGGGGAGACUGGAAUUCCUGGUGUAGCGGUGAAAUGCGCAGAUAUCAGGAGGAACACCGGUGGCGAAGGCGGGUCUCUGGGCAACAACUGACGCUGAGGAGCGAAAGCGUGGGGAGCGAAC
rnacentral:rRNA from 2 species